rnacentral:rRNA from 1 species
UUCAAGUCCUAGCUCAACCACCCCCUCUAACCAUUUAACCCCAAAAUCAAACAAACCAUUUGACACUACUAGUAAAGGAGAUUAAAC